GGAUCCCAUCAGAACUCCUAAGUUAAGCGUGCUUAGGCGAGAGUAGUACUAGGAUGGGUGACCUCCUGGGAAUUCCUCGUGUUGCAUUCCUUUUAUAAUUUUUUUUGCGCGUCCUGACAAACAAAACGCACGUGCGUGACAUAUAUUAACCCCGUUUUCUUAUUUUCCAUGUUUGCGGUACGUUUUCGCUCGCUGCUCAUUAUUCACGCGUCUAGCGGCGGCGUUGUGGUGCGGCAAGGCGCUUCUAAAAUGGGUCGAGACCGUGGUAAAUACGUGGUGGUGCGGUUGAGAGGGAGGGGUGGAAACCGUGGUAAACUCGUCUCCGCAGUUGAGCGGAGUGGUCAAAAGAAUGUGCAAUCGUCUUUGUAGUGGAGCUGGGAGGGGCAAGCAUAAGGGACGAAGGCAGGGGUAACAUGUCGGAUGCGAUCAUACCAGCACUAAAGCACC
rnacentral:rRNA from 1 species